CAUCAUGCUAUUAAUAGCACAGCUGACAUGUGUAAACAAACACGUGAGUGCACACACAGAAUUUCGGCAGGAAAAUACUCACAACUACUUGGAAAUAAAACCUAAAAAGACAACAGGAAUUUACCAGACGAAAAUGCCAGAUCUCUAGGAUAAUAUAGUUUUUAUUAGUUGACCAGUCCUUGAGCAUAGACGACAUCCUGAAUAUUCUGAGAAACAAGUGGGCCAUGCAACCUCCCAAGCUGCUCAUCUGCAUCUUAGGAGGCGAUAAAUCGGAUGCGUGCAUGACCAGUGACGUGGCGAAAGAAAUUUGUGAGGCUCUGGUUGAGGCAGUCCUGAGUACCGAUGUCUGGUUGAUGACGGGUGGUCUCCAGCUUGGAUUGGUGAAGAGCAUAGGGGAGGCCUUGGCUGAAGAAGCCACGGGUCGCGCUUUAAUCAAGCAGAGGGAUCUGGUGGCAAUAGGCGUAGCACCUCUCAGUGUCCUGCAUCAGAAAGAGAAAUUCAGCGUCACCCGAAGCCUCCAAAGAGUACCCCGAUAGUACUGGACUAUUCUGCACAUACGGCCGAAAAGCCGGGUAGCAUGCUUGAACCGAAUCACACUCACUUCAUCUUAGUGGAUGACGACGGACAGGAGCUGGGUAUUGAAGCCAAGACAAGGAACCAACUGAUAGCCAAGACAAGGAACCAACUGAUCAACAAGAUAGCGACUUGGAAAAUAGGAGAAGACGUCACAAAUGCCACAAUUCCUGCUGUCUAUCUCCUCCUUGGCGGUGACGUCACCAUCUUCGAGACUCUGGCGGAUGCCGCCAAUAACAACAUUCCGAUCGUCGUCUUCCCAGAAUCCAAAGGGGCCGCCGAGGUGCUGGUUGAAAUCUUGGAUGCUCACGAGAGGAUCGAUCAGAAACAGUUCGGAAAAGAGGCCGUUAAAAUUUUGAUAAGGAAGCUCCACUUGACAGAAGACACUGCAGUUCAUCAAUUCAAUGGGCAGAUUCAGUCUGUUAUCGAACGACGUCAUCUAAUCAAAAUCUAUCUGCCGAAGCAAAAAAAGGAUAACGGCACCAUUCUCACUGUCUUGAUGCAAGCUUCCAUGGUGACCACCACGGAGCUGAUGCCAGCCAUAAGAUGCAUGGAGAGUGCCCCACAAGGACUCGACGAUUCUGCCGUCGUCACCAAAAGUGUAAAGCGUUCAUAUGCAGAUGGAUACACUGGUUCCGAUGAGGCUUCCACCACCACACGGGCUCUCCCAGUGACUUCGAUGAUGUCUCAAGCUCCGCCUACAGAUAUGGAAGAGGAAUUCAUCACGGAAGGGGAAUUGGAAGUGGAGCCGCCGUCGCGUAUGUGCAGCCCUUCCAUGGUGACCACCAGGGAGCUGAUGCCAGCCAAAGAUGAGUUAAGAUGCAUGGAGAGUGCCCCACAAGGACUCGACGAUUCUGCUGUCGUUACCAAAAGUGGUUCCGAUGAGGUGAAACAACAACAUGGACCGGACGACUCGGAGACAGACAAGAUAUUACGCCGCCAGUACGAGGACAUGCACCGGGCUGUCACCGGGAACCAAAUUCACACUGCCAAGUCCAAUUUUGAUGAAAACAGCGUGAUAUGGCAGAACUUGGACUUGGUGAAAAAGUUACUGCACAUCGCCCUCGUCAAUGAUCAGCACAAAUUUGUCAAGUUCUUCAUCGUGGUUGGGAGGAUUGACGUCGGGAAAGUCCUGACAAACGAUCAACUGAAGAAAUUGUACAACGAGAUAGAUAAUCGCUCUGUUGUCUUCAAAAUAUUGGAGGAAAUGAAGGAAAAUGAAACGAAUUCCGACAACAAGUUUUCCCUGGAGGAUGUCGAUCGUCUCAUGAAAGAGCUGAUUUUUGACACGUACACGACUCAUAGGGAUGAGCCUGCCAAGCACCCAUAUAAGGAGUUGUUUUUGUGGGCGGUGCUCCAGGAUCGCAUCCCGAUGGCCAUGGUCUUUUGGAAGCUUGGCAAGCUGUCCAUGGGAGGCGCGCUAGUGGCACUCAAGCUCCUGAGGGAAUUGUCAAACCGCCAGGAAGAGAUUGACGCAAAGAAAGCUGCCAAUAUGAAGCAGCAUGCCGAGAAAUUCGAGCAGAUGGCAGUAGAUAUCCUGGACAUGUGCUAUGAGGACGACAGACGGCGUACAUCGGAACUGUUGGCGCGGGUCAUGCCGGAGUGGGGUGGUGCCACGGGUCUGGACAUCGCCGCUGCUGCGAAGAGCAAGCUCUUCAUAUCGCAAGUGGGCGUGCAGAGUCUGCUCAGCGAGCUCUGGAUGGGAAGGCUGUUUAUUACAACACACACAUUUAGGAUCUUCCUGUGUCUGCUCUUUCCCUUCUUCUCAACCUUUCUGAUAACCUUCUGUGCCGAGAAUGACACGAGUGUUCCACUGAAAAGGAAAAAGGGACGUGUACCUGCGAAAACGUCGGGUAACAGUAAUGGAAUGGCUCAGAACGACAGAAAUUGUGGAUAUGGAGGGGAAUUGGACGAACUCUGGUGGUACGAGAAGUUGAAACUUUUCAUGGAGGCACCUGUUGUAUGUUUCAGCUACGAUGCGAUUUCCCACAUGGCGUUUCUGGUGCUGUUCAGCUACAUCAUGCUGUCCAACUUUCAUCCAGAAGUCUCAGUCUUUGAGAUUGUUCUGAUGUUCAUGGUCUUCACAAAGUUCACCGAGGAAUUACGCCAGAUACUUCAGGAGGAGUACAACACGCUGCUGCACCGUUUCCAAGCCUGGCUGUUGGGCUGGAACAUUGUGGACCUGAUCUCCCUGGUCAUGUUCGCUGUCGGUGUCGGCCUGCGAUUCCACCCAGCAACCUUCGCCGCGGCGCGCAUUGUGCUGGCUCUGGACCUCAUGGUGUUCUACCUCCGGAUUCUAAACAUCUGCUACGCCAGCAAGCUUUUGGGUCCAAAGCUCAUCAUGAUCACAAGGAUGAUGGUGGAUUUGAUCAGCUUUGUCUGUAUCCUGCUUGUGUUUCUGAUCGCCUAUGGAGUAACCUGUCAGGCCAUCUUCUAUCCUAAUUCCACCGAUCCAGAGUCCAUCGCUAAAGGAGUCCUGUACCGAUCCUACUUCCAGCUGUACGGCGAGCUGUUUCUGGAUGGUUACGACAACUGUGCUACGGACGAGACGCAACUUGAAGGUGGUAUGGUGUCCUGCCCCCAACAUUCCUGGUUCUCUACAGUUAGUUUAGUCUUCUACCUGUUCAUCAGUAACAUCCUUCUGAUCAACCUCCUCAUUGCUAUGCUGAACUACACCUUCACAGCAGUUCAAGAGAACACGGAUGCAUACUGGAAAAUUCAGAGGUACCAGCUGAUCAAGGAAUAUUACCGCCGCCCAGCGUUAGUUUCCCCUUUCAUCCUGCUGGUUCAUAUGUACCAGUUGGUGCGCUACCUCGUGGAGCGAUUUUCUGAAUGCAAAUUGUACAGGGUGCCUAAUCUCAUGAAGAGAAACUUUCAGCCCAAGGUGAUGGCGGAGCUGUUGGCCUUUGCGAAGUUGAAGUGCCAGGAUUAUCUGACCGAUCUGAAAGAGAAGAAGGUGGACAAAAAGAAGAAGAAGAUGGCGAAAAUCGAAAAGAAUUUGUCAAUGAAGGCUACCCAGAAGCAGGUGGAGGAAAUAAAAAAAGAGCUCGAGGCACUGUCCUCACGCAUGAAGAGGAAUCAGAUUCUGAGUGAAAAUUGUGACGUAGGAAAAGAAGUAACAACCCGAACGAGAUGCGACAAGAAAAAAGCAACAAGGCCCCAAACGGCUUAUGAGUAGUGAUGUAGGGUGGACGGAACACCUGCUUGGACUCCAGUUUGCCCUUUUCCUUUACUGAAUCCCACCCUUUCGUCCAGUCGAGCAGGAUAGACGGAAAGCUCUUUGUUUUUCGUUAUUAUCUUGGAAAUAUAGCUACAACCAUCAGAGAACGAUAACUAUGCCAAAGGAUGUUGCGCAUUCAUGUUGAGGUACAACUGUUUAACGGCUUGGUUUUUGCUGUCACGAUUUCGAGGUCUUUUUUAAGCUCUGACAGGAGCUUCUACGUGUUGAUCACUUGGUGGUCAGUCGGUCGGUCGGUCUGUCUGCCUGUCGUCUGUCUGCCCCGAAAAUUGACCCAAGUGUGGUGUUCCAUAUGUGCCAUCGGCGCUGAUAUUUUUAAGCUCUGGCAGGGAUAGGCCUAAGUUUGGUCGAUUUCAUGCAAGACUGUCAAGUAUGACUUCUUGCAACACGACCAGAGCUUAUUGUGCACUCGCACUUUUUGUAUCCUCCUAGGAGUACCAACUGCCACUACCUUUUUUCCUACCAGCUUAGGGGUUCCUAAUAAUUAUUUUCUAUCUUCCUAUAAAGGGGUUUUGUGAUGCCUAUUUUUCAAUUUCCUAUGGGGGUCUUUUCAAGAGGAGUUUUCAGGGGUUUUCUCUAUAAACACUUCCUAUUUUUAAGCUCUGGCAGGGGCUUUUAUACUUGUCACUUGGUGGUCGGUCGGUCGGAUGGUCUGUCCGUCGGUCCCGAAAAUUGACCAAAAGUAUGGUGUUCCAUUAGUGCCAUCGGCGUCGCAU